CACAGCUUGGUUUCGCAACUGCCCUGCUCAAGACUUCAAGAAAUUGCGGAGAGUUGUGGAGGUAGCCCAGUCCCUC